UACGUAGGGUGCGAGCGUUGUCCGGAAUUACUGGGCGUAAAGAGCUCGUAGGUGGUUUGUCGCGUCGUCUGUGAAAUUCCGGGGCUUAACUCCGGGCGUGCAGGCGAUACGGGCAUAACUUGAGUGCUGUAGGGGAGACUGGAAUUCCUGGUGUAGCGGUGAAAUGCGCAGAUAUCAGGAGGAACACCGAUGGCGAAGGCAGGUCUCUGGGCAGUAACUGACGCUGAGGAGCGAAAGCAUGGGUAGCGAACAGG
rnacentral:rRNA from 1 species